UGCGCAGGCGGAAUAUUAAGUCAGUGGUGAAAGCCUACAGCUCAACUGUAGAACUGCCAUUGAAACUGAUAUUCUUGAGUAUAGUUGUAGUGGGCGGAAUAUAUCAUGUAGCGGUGAAAUGCUUAGAUAUGAUAUAGAACACCGAUCGCGAAGGCAGCUCACUAAGCUAUAACUGACGCUCAGGCACGAAAGCGUGGGGAGCAAACAGGAUUAGAUACCCUGGUAGUCC
rnacentral:rRNA from 1 species